CAGGUAGUUUAAUAUUUUGUUCAACAUUGAAGUAACAUUCUACUGCACUCGAGCAGGGAGAGAUGGCGCGACAUCGUGAGACGCAUCAAGUCUGCCCCUUCCAACACUACAUGACGAUCACGACCACUCUGUCACGAGUGACACGACUGAGAAGAAGAAGAAGAAAGUCGUCGGCGUACGCGCGCUCUGGUCGCGGCUUGCAAGUUGACUAACACGAAUACUUUCACAUAAUUUCCACCACGGACGUCCACUGCUGGAGAUCCUCCCCCAAAGCUCGUUGUAUUAUUGUCCAAUAACUUUCUCGUUAAAUAUAUUCUUUUAAUAUUGAUAAUAAACUAAUUUGACAA